CCUAGGGGAGGCAGCAGUGGGGAAUAUUGGACAAUGGGCGAAAGCCUGAUCCAGCCAUGCCGCGUGUGUGAAGAAGGCCUUCGGGUUGUAAAGCACUUUCAGUGGGGAAGAAAGCCUUGGGGCUAAUACCCUCGAGGAAGGACAUCACCCACAGAAGAAGCACCGGCUAACUCCGUGCCAGCAGCCGCGGUAAUACGGAGGGUGCGAGCGUUAAUCGGAAUUACUGGGCGUAAAGCGCGCGUAGGCGGUCUGAUAAGCCGGUUGUGAAAGCCCCGGGCUCAACCUGGGAACGGCAUCCGGAACUGUCAGGCUAGAGUGCAGGAGAGGAAGGUAGAAUUCCCGGUGUAGCGGUGAAAUGCGUAGAGAUCGGGAGGAAUACCAGUGGCGAAGGCGGCCUUCUGGACUGACACUGACGCUGAGGUGCGAAAGCGUGGGUAGCAAACAGGAUUAGAUACCCCAGUAGUC
rnacentral:rRNA from 1 species